CCGCUUUUAGCUCAGUGGUCGAGCGUUGGGUUUGGAAGCCACAGGUCGGUGGUUCGAACCCGCCAGGACACA
rfam:Phytophthora infestans T30-4 supercont1.13 genomic scaffold, whole genome shotgun sequence.